UACGUAGGGUGCAAGCGUUGUCCGGAAUUAUUGGGCGUAAAGAGCUCGUAGGCGGUUUGUCGCGUCUGCUGUGAAAAUCCAGGGCUUAACCCUGGACCUGCAGUGGGUACGGGCAGACUAGAGUGCGGUAGGGGAGAUCGGAAUUCCUGGUGUAGCGGUGAAAUGCGCAGAUAUCAGGAGGAACACCGGUGGCGAAGGCGGAUCUCUGGGCCGUAACUGACGCUGAGGAGCGAAAGCAUGGGGAGCGAAC
rnacentral:rRNA from 1 species